rnacentral:lncRNA from 1 species
CAGACCAGGUUCCUGCUGAGGGAGGCAAUGGAAGGGAUGAGAGUUGCUAUUAGACCACAUGCCCACCAGAUGGCGCGAGAUGACCAGAAGCGCCCCUUUUCCGCUCCCUGGCUGCACCUAUGCCCAAAAUACAUGGUUGGAGAUAUGUUGCUGGAACCCCAAGUAGGUGACCAGAGAAGGCAGGUGGUUAAAGGGCACCUCUCACCCUUUGACCAAUUUUCUUCACCUCAGCGAGGGGACAUAAUUCUGCCAUGACAUCUGUAGUUCAUUGUCAGCAUCCUCAGGUGGCUCCGUGACCCGACAGUUCGACGGUCUGUCUGAGCUCUGAGUGCCCUUCGAUUGUUUGGAGGCAUAAGUCUGGACCUAGAAAGACCUGGCUUGAAUCUUGAAAUCAGGCUGGCAUCAUAUCUUCAUCUGCAGUGUAUUUCGGUGAGCUGAGAGGCAGAGAAAUAAAAAAAUUAUGCUGGUAAGACCAGGACUUUAAAAAUGUGUUCUGGGUUUAAAGGUCUGCCUCUGGAAAAUCAAAUGGCAAACUGACCCCAAGGAACGUGUCACACUCUGGCACCUGGGGACACCCAAUCAGAUUGGACAUGCCAAUCCCACGCUGAUGGCACAGCUGCAUCCCCUCCUUGAGGUGAGGAAAUUUGGCUAGAGUAUUAGAGGGACCCUGUAACCAACCCUAAACCUAUGAUCAUGUCCUGAGUGUUCCUACAGUCUGCUUCAACUCCAUCUUAGAACCUGGAAUUUCAGCCAGGGUUCUGCCUGUGCUCUGGCGCCAUCUGGUGGUCUCUCCCUCUAAUGACAACCCUUUGCCCUUCCGUUUCCCUCAGCAGCCCCCAAUACUGCUCUGGCCUUAGACACCUGCCAUCGUCAUUUGUUCCUUCUCACAUUUUAGCGCCCUGACUUGGGCAUUUCUCUCUCAAAAUCUCCCAGAGCAUGCACCUCAACACCUUAACACCCUGAGAACCUUCUUUAAAUCAAUCAGCUUACUUUCAUUCAUGAAACUUGAAGUCAGCUUCCUGUGAAACAGAGGUGGUGGUGGGGAGGCUCAGAGAAAAAUAGAAGAGGGAACUUUGGGGAGAUGUCUUGAGGGAAAAAGAGUGAUUUUAACUGCCACCCACCAAAAUUUUCACAACUUUUAUGAGCUCCAUUCAUGACCCUAGCCCCUUUUUCCACAUGACAACUUCAAGGAGGCCAGCAGCUUGAGAAUUUUAAGUCCAAGACUGGAUACAGGUAUUUGGGGGUCCAGACUGCUGCCUCUCAAAGUUUGACCCCAGAGAUCUUGUCAAACUCUCUUGCCCUGGACCUCCUUACUGGGUUGGAAGAGCCAAUCAAUGCUGAAGACACAUCUGUUUCUUCUUUCUUAGGUGAGCCAAUUAGGCCAGAGAGACAGAGGUGAACUGUAAUUAAUCCCAACACUCUGGGCACAACCUACCUUCAGCCCCAUCUCUGAGCCUGGAGGUACAGCCAGAGCGCUUCAGGUGGGCUCUGCCCAUGCUGUGGUGCUACCUCGUGGCUGUCUGCUCUAACACCAAUUCUCAGCCCUUCCCCCUUUCUUGCUCAGCAGCCGGGGACUGAACUGGCCUUAGAUACUUCCCAGGUGGAUUUUGUUCCAGCUCUCCCUCUCAACCCAAGGAAAUGCCCUAGAGAUGGGGUCAUGAUUUCUCAAUGGCUCCCAGUGCGCGCCCCCCCCUCCCCGCUCCCGCCCCGUUACCUGCAAUCUGUCAGCAGCCCUGCAUUUUCAAUCCCAUGAAGAGGCUUUAAAUUAGCACCCUUUAGCCUUGUGAUCCAGACUGAAAUCAAUAAACCUUCCCUCUCCACCAUCUAAUACAUUCAAGAUUUUAGAUAGGGCCCCCUAACAGGUUUUGAGUAGAGGAGGAAGAGGCUCCGAUGGAAAGGGAAGCAGGAACUUUGGCGAGAAUCCUUAAGAAAAAAAUCACAGGGAUUCCCAUAGCUGUUCAGCAAUAUAACACAAUGUUUCUGUGCUCCAUUCAUGAAUAACAGCCCCCCUUUCCACAUGAUAACCCCACACAAGCCGGAGGUUUGAAAAUGGCAAUCCCAAGGUUCAAGGCAGAUGUUUCUUGGUCCAGAGUCUUUCCCUACACCAAACAAAGGGCAAUCUAACCCCCAGUGAACAUGCCGAACUCUCUGGCCCUGGGCCACCCGACCAGGCUGGAAAUGCCUAUCAAAUUUUGAGGGCAUAGGUGUCCCCUCUCUGAGGUGAGGCAUUUGGGGCCAGAGAGUCAGAGGUGCCUUGUAGCCAACCCCUAAACUCUGGGAACAUUCUGGGGGUUCCACCAACCCAUCUUUGAGCCCAUCUCUGAGCCUGGAGGUAGGGGCCAGGAAGCUGCAGGCAGGCUCUGUUGCUGCCUUGGCGCCAUCUGGUGGCCAUCACCUCUAACAUCAACUCUCAGCCCUGACUUCUGUUUCCCUUAGCAGCUCACCAGCAUUGUGCUGGCCUUAGACACCUGCCAGCUUGAUCUCCUUCCCCCUCACCCUUCUUUCCCAGUGACAUGAACAACCAGGGCCUUCCAGAGGCACGUGUUUCUUUCUCGAAGUCAGCCAUGCACUUGAUCCUCUCUCCACUACUCAUUUUAGUCAAUGAGCCAAACUCACUUCAACUCAGGCAACUACAUGUCCAUUAAUCAGCUCCCACCUGCCACUGAUGUUACUUGGCUGGAGGUAGUAUUCUUCCUCAGGGGUGAGUGGAAGAAGGGAAAGGCUCAAAUAAAGGAAAGGAAGGAAAUUUUCAGAGAGCUGUCAAAAGACAUGUCUCUAGGAUGGAUGGAACAUGUCCAACAAGAAACAUCUGCUUUUACAAUCUCCAUUCAUGACCAACUGCACAGAUUUCCUGAAGUCAAAAAGCAUUCAACCUGAUCCUGGAACACUGUAUGCCCCAUAUUCAAGCCAACAACUUCAGGGUCAAAUUUCUGCCUCUGCAGAAUAAAAAGUCAAAUAUCUUGACAGCCUGAGUUAUCUGGACUUUGAUCUACGCAAGUU